ACUUAAUGUGACUUGAUUUAGCGAUUGGUGUUGAUUUGCCCAAAUCAUUGAGAGAAAGAAAAUUCAGCAAAGGCAAAGACCUCAAAAGCACAAAUUGAAAAUUGUUCCAAUAGUCAAAAGACUAUGAACAAGGCAAGUAGCCACUUGGAUAGGUGACCAACUGAAAAAUAUAAACCUUCAAAUUAAAAAUAGGUUGGUGACCUUUCCAAGCGAGAUCUAAAGUGCAAAAGCCUGAAUAAAGUAUUUCAAGGUAAGGGCAAGUCAAUCCAAAAGUUAGAAAAAGUCUUAAACAAAUUAAUGUGCAUGUCUCUAUUGAGGAAAAUAAAUCCUAGCCAUGGUAAGCAAAGGGAAACAAGGAAAGAAGGUAAGUAAUCUUCAUGCAUAUAUUCUUCACUGCAGUGCUUCAGAAUAGGUGUCUAGAGUAAGAGUUUAAGUGGAAAUAAGGAUCCAGAGUGAGAAAGCUUGUUUGACU
rnacentral:lncRNA from 1 species